ACAUAGACACCAUUAACUUUGUAGAGCAGUUUGGUGCUCAUACCCUCUUGAGCAUGAAAUAGACGUUCCACUUCUAUCAUCAUUAUGUCUUUUCCUUCCAAAUUAUUUCAAGUAUCAUGCCUUCUGGAAUUCUUUUCUCUACUCAAACUGUGCGCUGAACUAAUAUUCUUAUCUCUUUUUUUAGAUGCAAUAUUCUUAUCUCGAUGCUAGCAAAUUCUCUGUUGGAUCCUUGGCUGCUCCUUAUUGCCCAAAGUUUUGAGGAUCUGAAUUUUACUAGCAUGGAAAGUAAAACUAGAGCAGGGGUUCUCGCUGAGAGGCCGAAAUGGCUUCGCGCGGUGCUGUUGGGCGUGGAGAAGCAGCGAAGGACACUGGUGUUUGGAACAAAGAUGGGAAGGAGAGGGAAGAGUAUGGCACCGGUGCCCAUUGGCCUCCGUUAGUUCUGACGCCGACUCCAACGUGCAGUAGAAGUUGCAAACAGAACCCAAAUGGACGGAACAAUUAAGAGGAAUGUGGUACUAGCAAAAGCAGCUAGAAAGAGGAAAGUAUGAAAGGAAACUAAAACGGAUGCUCAGGUGAAGCCUGCCUGGCUAGCUAGGAUGGAGCCUGCACUGUCACACAGGAAACUUUGUCUCCACAACCUGUGAGGCAAUCAGGGAAAGUGGCAGGAUCAGGAAUGAGAAUGCUAAGGAAGCUGAGAAAGCUAUUAAAAAGAAAAGGGGAAGGAAAAUGCUCUGAACUACAUGAAAGGGAAGGGAAUUGCGAGGCUCCGAACUUAAAGUUGCUUACCUGCGCAAGUUUGAUAUUGUUUUGGUUGUACUGGUGCUGAUUCUUUUUCAUGAACUCUCUAUGUAUUUGUUCCGGUGGGACCUCUGAUUUUGUUGGCUGUAAAGCACA